GGGGUUGACUGGAUUUGACAGCGGGCAGAAAUGGUAAGUAAGCAUGCAGUGCGUCGUUGAUUUGCACUUAAAUCUCAGUCUUCAAAAUUUUAUCUGGCGAAACUAAUUACGCUCUUGCUGCUUAAUCGAAUCAUAGUAGAUUAGCUUAAUCCCGGCACAAGGUGCCGGGACGAGACAUCACUCGGAAGCUGUUGCUCCGAAGCAUUCCGGUUCAGUGGUGCAGUCACAUCGGGGAUAGUUCGUGCCAGCCUCGUGGCGCGAAUGAAAAUUUAGAGGAUAAGGCUGCGAUUGAUGGCUUUGAUUCUGUCGCAGCACGAAAACCCAGGCAAAGAUAAGCAUGUAGAAAGCUUAUGAUUUCCUCGUUUGGACGAGGGUUCGAUUCCCUCCAGCUCCACAA
rnacentral:tmRNA from 1 species